UACGUAGGUGGCAAGCGUUGUCCGGAUUUACUGGGCGUAAAGGGCGUGCAGGCGGUCUGUUAAGUGCAGGGUGAAAGCUCCCGGCUCAACUGGGAGAGGUCCUUGCAUACUGGCGGACUUGAGGGGGGUAGAGGAAAGUGGAAUUCCCGGUGUAGUGGUGAUAUGCGUAGAUAUCGGGAGGAACACCUGUGGCGAAGGCGGCUUUCUGGACGAGUAACUGACGCUGAGACGCGAAAGCGUGGGGAGCAAACAGGG
rnacentral:rRNA from 1 species